GACGAACGCUGGCGGCGCGCCUAACACAUGCAAGUCGAACGGAGUUGUUAUGACAGAUUCUUCGGAUGAUGGAAUAACAGCUUAGUGGCGAACGGGUGAGUAACGCGUGAGUAACCUGCCUUAAAGAGGGGGACAACAGUUGGAAACGACUGCUAAUACCGCAUAAGCCCACAGUACCGCAUGGUACAGUGAGAAAAGAUUUUAUCGCUUUAAGAUGGACUCGCGUCUGAUUAGCUAGUUGGUGGGUAACGGCCUACCAAGGCAACGAUCAGUAGCCGGACUGAGAGGUUGAUCGGCCACAUUGGGACUGAGACACGGCCCAGACUCCUACGGGAGGCAGCAGUGGGGAAUAGUUGCACAAUGGGGGAAACCCUGAUGCAGCGACGCCGCGUGAGGGAAGAAGGCUUUCGGGUUGUAAACUUCUUUUAAGAGGGAAGAGUAGAAGACGGUACCGUACUUGAAUAAGCCACGGCUAACUACGUG
rnacentral:rRNA from 1 species